UCCUUCGCGUGGACCCAUCUCUCACCCCGUGUACGCCUCGUUCCCCUCCGCACACCACUCGUCCCCUCCGGUGAGCCCUGGCCCCUUUCCUCACCAGUCGAUUUCUACCACUCCGCCGCCAUUACCUGAAGGAUCCAAAGCUUCGAAGGCCGCGCAUCUCCUCUGACCGCCAGAUCUACCUCGCUAUGUCGCCGUGGUCUGGAUUCACAGGCGAAGAAGGCGGACCAGAUUCGACUCUGCGGAGCGAAGAUCUCGUGGGGAUUCUGAACUUGUAUGCGAGAGCUACUGACCACGACGCCUUCUUAGACCUUCCUCGAGAGAUCCUCAAUCCGUUCUUCGCCGGACCGGAUCUCAACACGCAUCGCAGAUGACGUCACGGGGAGGUCCCUCAGAGGAAGGUAGCAUUCGACAUGGCUGCUACUAGGAGGAGAUUCCUCGGAUGCCCUCGUCAGGGGGCUGAUCGUUGCUCGUUCGUCGUAUGGGUUGAUGAACCCUGGAAUCCAGUUUUAACUAGGUCUUUGAUUCAUUUGUGGAUCUUGGUUGGUGUACACUCCAAAAAGGGUAUCAUGUCAGGUGAAUCAGAUUAUCCCAUGGAUCAAGCAUACAUAGCGCUUUUGGCUGAGAAGAACAAUCUCCAGAUCGCACUAGAGCAUAAAGAGACCAAAAUGAAGACUAGUGAAUUCAAGCUGAAGGAAACGAUCCGGCGCAAACAGCGUUGAAGUCUCGCGAAGCUUAAACAUAUAUGCCAAUGUGUGCAUAUCUGCCGUCAGUGUAGCUGUUACUGUGUUUGCAUUACUUGUGGUUGUGCUUCUUAAAUAGGCCUUAAUAUCUAUUGUAACCCGUAGAUUUUCGGAAACCCGCAUGUAAGACUGCAUAAUUAUACACUUAAACCAGGUGAAGUGAUUAUAGGCGUUGCACUAUUUUUUCCAUCGCUUAUUCUUUGAACCCUGUAAUAAUC